AAUCAAACCCGGAGAUAUCUCGUUCUCCCCGAAAUAGCUUUAGGGCUAGCCUCGGCCGUUAACCCGCGGUGGUAGAGCCACCGGAUCGACGAGGGGGCUUCACCGCCUACCGACUCGAACCGAACUCCGAAUGCCGCGGGUCGAGAGGCCGGGAGUCAGAGGGCGUGGGCUAAGCUGCGCGCUCGAGAGGGAAACAGCCCAGACCGCCCGCUAAGGUCCCCAAGUCAUCGCUGAGUGGCAAAGGAUGUGCGUCUGCCCAGACAACCAGGAUGUUGGCUUAGAAGCAGCCAUGCAUUUAAAGAGUGCGUAACAGCUCACUGGUCGAGUGGACAUGCGCCGACAAUUCACGGGGCUAAGCGAUGCACCGAAGCGGCGGACUGAGAAUUCAGUGGUAGGGGAGCUCUCCGCGGGGGGCGAAGCAGCAGGGCGACCUGCUGUGGACCGCGCGGAGGUGAGAAUGCUGGCAUGAGUAACGAGACCAGGGCGAGAAACCCUGGCGCCGUGAGCCUAAGGGUUCCUGGGCGAGGCUAAUCCCCCCAGGGUCAGUCGGGAGCUAAGGCGAGGCCGAGAGGCGUAGCCGAUGCGCAGCGGGCAGACAUUCCCGCACCGCCGACGGCGCGGCAUUACCGAUGGGGCGACGGAGAAGGGUAGCCGGGCGGGGUUCUGGACGUCCCCGUGAAAGCGCGUAGGGCGCGCAGCGUGGAAACCAGCUGCGCACGAGGCCUGAGACGCGAGACGAAGCGACCGAGCGAAGCCGGUGAGCCCAUGCUUCCGAGAAAAACCUCUAGGGAGUGCCGUCGGCGCCCGUACCAAAACCGACACAGGUGGGCGGGUAGAACAUACCGAGGCGAUCGGGAGAACCACGGUUAAGGAACUCGGCAUACUGGCCCCGUAACUUCGGGAGAAGGGGCGCCCCCGCCGGUGAAGGCACUUGCUGCCGGAGCUGGCGGCGGCCGCAGCGAAACGGCCCAAGCGACUGUUUAUCAAAAACACAGGACUCUGCAAAGCGGUAACGCGACGUAUAGGGUCUGACGCCUGCCCGGUGCCGGAAGGUUACGCGGAUGCGUCAGCCGAAAGGCGAAGCGCUGAAGCCAAGCCCCGGUAAACGGCGGCCGUAACUAUAACGGUCCUAAGGUAGCGAAAUUCCUUGUCGGGUAAGUUCCGACCUGCACGAAUGGCGUAACGAUUUGGGCGCUGUCUCAACCGUGGACCCGGUGAAAUUGUACUGUUCGUGAAGAUGCGAACUACCCGCGGAAGGACGGAAAGACCCCGUGAACCUUUACUGCAGCUUGGCAUUGGCAUCUGGUACGGCGCGUAGAGGAUAGGCGGGAGCCUUUGAAGCGGGGGCGCAAGCCCCCGUGGAGGCGACCUUGGAAUACCGCCCUCGUCGUGCCGGCUGCCUAACGCGCGGCCGUGAUCCGGCGCGCGGACCGUGCCAGGCGGGUAGUUUGACUGGGGCGGUCGCCUCCCAAAACGUAACGGAGGCGCGCGAAAGGUCCGCUCAGGACGGUCGGCAACCGUCCCGAGAGCGCAAGAGUGCAAGCGGGCUUGACUGCGAGAGAGACACCUCGAGCAGGGACGAAAGUCGGUUCUAGUGAUCCGGCGGCACAGAGUGGAAUGGCCGUCGCUCAACGGAUAAAAGGUACUCCGGGGAUAACAGGCUGAUCUUGCCCAAGAGUCCACAUCGACGGCAAGGUUUGGCACCUCGAUGUCGGCUCAUCGCAUCCUGGGGCUGUAGCAGGUCCCAAGGGUUGGGCUGUUCGCCCAUUAAAGCGGUACGCGAGCUGGGUUCAGAACGUCGUGAGACAGUUCGGUCCCUAUCCUCCGUGGGCGCAAGAGAAUUGAGAGGAUCUGUCCCUAGUACGAGAGGACCGGGAUGGACGCACCUCUGGUGCCGCAGUUGUCGACCAACGGCACAGCUGCCUAGCUACGUGCGGAACGGAUAACCGCUGAAAGCAUCUAAGCGGGAAGCCGGCCUCGAGAUGAGUUCUCUCUUCGGUAAGGCCACUUGU
rnacentral:rRNA from 1 species